rnacentral:rRNA from 1 species
UGAACGCUGGCGGCAGGCCUAACACAUGCAAGUCGAACGGUAACAGGAAGCAGCUUGCUGCUUCGCUGACGAGUGGCGGACGGGUGAGUAAUGUCUGGGAAACUGCCUGAUGGAGGGGGAUAACUACUGGAAACGGUAGCUAAUACCGCAUAACGUCGCAAGACCAAAGAGGGGGACCUUAGGGCCUCUUGCCAUCGGAUGUGCCCAGAUGGGAUUAGCUAGUAGGUGGGGUAACGGCUCACCUAGGCGACGAUCCCUAGCUGGUCUGAGAGGAUGACCAGCCACACUGGAACUGAGACACGGUCCAGACUCCUACGGGAGGCAGCAGUGGGGAAUAUUGCACAAUGGGCGCAAGCCUGAUGCAGCCAUGCCGCGUGUAUGAAGAAGGCCUUCGGGUUGUAAAGUACUUUCAGCGGGGAGGAAGGGAGUAAAGUUAAUACCUUUGCUCAUUGACGUUACCCGCAGAAGAAGCACCGGCCAACUCCGUG